AUGAACGCUGGCGGCGUGCCUAAUACAUGCAAGUCGAACGAGUUCUGAUUAUUGAAAGGUGCUUGCAUCUUGAUUUAAUUUUGAACGAGUGGCGGACGGGUGAGUAACACGUGGGUAACCUGCCCUUAAGUGGGGGAUAACAUUUGGAAACAGAUGCUAAUACCGCAUAAAUCCAAGAACCGCAUGGUUCUUGGCUGAAAGAUGGCGUAAGCUAUCGCUUUUGGAUGGACCCGCGGCGUAUUAGCUAGUUGGUGAGGUAACGGCUCACCAAGGCAAUGAUACGUAGCCGAACUGAGAGGUUGAUCGGCCACAUUGGGACUGAGACACGGCCCAAACUCCUACGGGAGGCAGCAGUAGGGAAUCUUCCACAAUGGACGCAAGUCUGAUGGAGCAACGCCGCGUGAGUGAAGAAGGCUUUCGGGUCGUAAAACUCUGUUGUUGGAGAAGAAUGGUCGGCAGAGUAACUGUUGUCGGCGUGACGGUAUCCAACCAGAAAGCCACGGCUAACUACGUGCCAGCAGCCGCGGUAAUACGUAGGUGGCAAGCGUUAUCCGGAUUUAUUGGGCGUAAAGCGAGCGCAGGCGGUUUUUUAAGUCUGAUGUGAAAGCCCUCGGCUUAACCGAGGAAGUGCAUCGGAAACUGGGAAACUUGAGUGCAGAAGAGGACAGUGGAACUCCAUGUGUAGCGGUGAAAUGCGUAGAUAUAUGGAAGAACACCAGUGGCGAAGGCGGCUGUCUGGUCUGUAACUGACGCUGAGGCUCGAAAGCAUGGGUAGCGAACAGGAUUAGAUACCCUGGUAGUCCAUGCCGUAAACGAUGAAUGCUAGGUGUUGGAGGGUUUCCGCCCUUCAGUGCCGCAGCUAACGCAUUAAGCAUUCCGCCUGGGGAGUACGACCGCAAGGUUGAAACUCAAAGGAAUUGACGGGGGCCCGCACAAGCAGUGGAGUAUGUGGUUUAAUUCGACGCAACGCGAAGAACCUUACCAGGUCUUGACAUCUUUUGAUCACCUGAGAGAUCAGGUUUCCCCUUCGGGGGCAAAAUGACAGGUGGUGCAUGGUUGUCGUCAGCUCGUGUCGUGAGAUGUUGGGUUAAGUCCCGCAACGAGCGCAACCCUUAUGACUAGUUGCCAGCAUUUAGUUGGGCACUCUAGUAAGACUGCCGGUGACAAACCGGAGGAAGGUGGGGAUGACGUCAAAUCAUCAUGCCCCUUAUGACCUGGGCUACACACGUGCUACAAUGGAUGGUACAACGAGUUGCGAGACCGCGAGGUCAAGCUAAUCUCUUAAAGCCAUUCUCAGUUCGGACUGUAGGCUGCAACUCGCCUACACGAAGUCGGAAUCGCUAGUAAUCGCGGAUCAGCACGCCGCGGUGAAUACGUUCCCGGGCCUUGUACACACCGCCCGUCACACCAUGAGAGUUUGUAACACCCGAAGCCGGUGGCGUAACCCUUUUAGGGAGCGAGCCGUCUAAGGUGGGACAAAUGAUUAGGGUG
rnacentral:rRNA from 1 species